rnacentral:rRNA from 1 species
GAUGAACGCUGGCGGCGUGCCUAAUACAUGCAAGUCGAGCGAACAGACGAGGAGCUUGCUCCUCUGACGUUAGCGGCGGACGGGUGAGUAACACGUGGAUAACCUACCUAUAAGACUGGGAUAACUUCGGGAAACCGGAGCUAAUACCGGAUAAUAUAUUGAACCGCAUGGUUCAAUAGUGAAAGACGGUUUUGCUGUCACUUAUAGAUGGAUCCGCGCCGCAUUAGCUAGUUGGUAAGGUAACGGCUUACCAAGGCAGCGAUGCGUAGCCGACCUGAGAGGGUGAUCGGCCACACUGGAACUGAGACACGCUCCAGACUCCUACGGGAGGCAGCAGUAGGGAAUCUUCCGCAAUGGGCGAAAGCCUGACGGAGCAACGCCGCGUGAGUGAUGAAGGUCUUCGGAUCGUAAAACUCUGUUAUUAGGGAAGAACAAAUGUGUAAGUAACUAUGCACGUCUUGACGGUACCUAAUCAGAAAGCCACGGCUAACUACGUG